ACCACUUGGAAAAAAAUCUAAAAGACAACUGAAUUUGUGAAGAAAUCAAUUUAUGAAAUUAUCAAUUUCAGAGAUUAUCUCUCUCCAAGGAAUGAUUCAAGAAUAGCUCCAUGGGCAGUGUGACCCAUCCCAACAAGAAAGAGCAUAAAAGAAGACAUCUGAAAAGGAAGCUGUGCUACCAGCUCCUGAACUUGAGAAGAUUUUUCCACAAGCAAUGAAGCAAUGACAAGGUCUGUCCUUCCUUGUCUGUGGGGUCAAUUAACUACCCCACGAACAUGUACCGUAAGCUAAAUGAGAAAUGCAAAAAAAUACAUGCUGUUUAGUUAUUUCGUAACUAAGUGAGAGGUACAGAAAUGCAUUACUUAGUCUUUAAAUCCUUUACUAUUUAAU